rnacentral:rRNA from 1 species
GAUGAACGCUAGCGGCAGGCCUAAUACAUGCAAGUCGAACGGGCCCCGAGCGAUCGGGGUUAGUGGCGCACGGGUGCGUAACGCGUACACAACAUACCCUUGACUGGGGGAUAGCGGUGGGAAACUGCCAGUAAUACCCCAUGACCUUGCGAGGUGGCAUUAUUUUGCAAGGAAAGUUUAGGCGGUUGAGGAUUGGUGUGCGUCCGAUUAGCUAGUUGGCGGGGUAACGGCCCACCAAGGCGACGAUCGGUAGGGGGUGUGAGAGCAUGGCCCCCCACACGGGUACUGAGACACGGACCCGACUCCUACGGGAGGCAGCAGUAAGGAAUAUUGGACAAUGGACGGAAGUCUGAUCCAGCCAUGCCGCGUGCAGGAAGAAGGCGCUCAGCGUUGUAAACUGCUUUUGAAUGGGAAUAAUAGUGUCGACGCGAUCGGCAUUUGAAGGUACCAUUAGAAUAAGCACCGGCUAACUCCGUG